rnacentral:rRNA from 1 species
UACGUAGGGUGCAAGCGUUGUCCGGAAUUAUUGGGCGUAAAGAGCUCGUAGGCGGCCUGUCACGUCGACUGUGAAAACCCAGGGCUCAACCCUGGGCCUGCAGUCGAUACGGGCAGGCUAGAGUGUGGUAGGGGAGACUGGAAUUCCUGGUGUAGCGGUGAAAUGCGCAGAUAUCAGGAAGAACACCCGUGGCGAAGGCGGCUCUCUGGGACGGUACUGACGCUGAGACGCGAAAGCGUGGGGAGCGAACAGG